UACAGAGGUCCCAAGCGUUGUUCGGAUUCACUGGGCGUAAAGGGUGCGUAGGUGGCGGGGUAAGUCUGAUGUGAAAUCUCCGAGCUUAACUCGGAAACUGCAUCGGAUACUGCCUUGCUCGAGGGUUGGAGGGGGGACUGGAAUUUACGGUGUAGCAGUGAAAUGCGUAGAGAUCGUAAGGAAGACCAGUGGCGAAGGCGGGUCUCUGGACAGUUCCUGACACUGAGGCACGAAGGCCAGGGGAGCAAACGGG
rnacentral:rRNA from 1 species